AGUGAACGCUGGCGGUAGGCCUAACACAUGCAAGUCGAACGGCAGCACAGUAAGAGCUUGCUCUUACGGGUGGCGAGUGGCGGACGGGUGAGGAAUACAUCGGAAUCUACUUUUUCGUGGGGGAGAACGUAGGGAAACUUACGCUAAUACCGCAUACGACCUACGGGUGAAAGCAGGGGAUCUUCGGACCUUGGGCGAUUGAAUGAGCCGAUGUCGGAUUAGCUAGUUGGCGGGGUAAAGGCCCACCAAGGCGACGAUCCGUAGCUGGUCUGAGAGGAUGAUCAGCCACACUGGAACUGAGACACGGUCCAGACUCCUACGGGAGGCAGCAGUGGGGAAUAUUGGACAAUGGGCGCAAGCCUGAUCCAGCCAUACCGCGUGGGUGAAGAAGGCCUUCGGGUUGUAAAGCCCUUUUGUUGGGAAAGAAAAGCAGCAGGUUAAUACCCCGCUGUUCUGACGGUACCCAAAGAAUAAGCACCGGCUAACUUCGUG
rnacentral:rRNA from 1 species